CCUACGGGGGGCAGCAGUGAGGAAUAUUGGUCAAUGGACGCAAGUCUGAACCAGCCAAGUCGCGUGAGGGAUGACUGUCCUAUGGGUUGUAAACUUCUUUUGUAUGGGAAUAAGACACGGUAUGCAUACCCUCUUGUAUGUACCCUGUGAAUAAGGCUCGGCUAACUACGUGCCCGCAGCCGAAGGUAUACGGAGGGUCCGGGCGGUUUCCGGUAUUGUUGGGGUUAAAGGGAGCAUAGGUCGGAUGUUAAGGCAGUUGGUAAAGUGUGCGGCUCAACCGUAAGAUUGCAGUUGAAACUGGUAGUCUUGAGUACAGGAGAGGUGGGCGGAAUGCGUGGUGUAGCGGUGAAAUGCUUAGAUAUCACGAAGAACUCCGAUUGCGAAGGCAGCUCACUGGACUGCAACUGACACUGAGGCUCGAAAGUGUGGGGAUCAAACAGGAUUAGAUACCCGGGUAGUC
rnacentral:rRNA from 1 species